CCGCUGCCCCGGGAUUAGUGCAGGAGGCAAAGCGGCGACGACACUCGCCAGGUUCAGUCCUCUGCCUUCCCCCAGGAACGUAUAUAACAGGAGCCCUGUGGCGCAGAGUGGUAAGCUGCAGUACUACAGCCCAAGGUGUGCUCACGACCUGGCGGAAUUUGGGUUCAGGUAGCCGGCUCAAGGUUGACUUAGCCUUCCAUCCUUCCGAGAAUAAUGUUUGAUAAAAGUGUCUGCAGUGGACCAUGUCGCAGCUUGGCAGACGUCCCGGAGCGGCAGUCCUCGCAGGAAGGCAG